rnacentral:rRNA from 1 species
AGCGGCGGACGGGUGAGUAAUGCCUAGGAAAUUGCCCUGAUGUGGGGGAUAACCAUUGGAAACGAUGGCUAAUACCGCAUGAUGCCUACGGGCCAAAGAGGGGGACCUUCGGGCCUCUCGCGUCAGGAUAUGCCUAGGUGGGAUUAGCUAGUUGGUGAGGUAAGGGCUCACCAAGGCGACGAUCCCUAGCUGGUCUGAGAGGAUGAUCAGCCACACUGGAACUGAGACACGGUCCAGACUCCUACGGGAGGCAGCAGUGGGGAAUAUUGCACAAUGGGCGCAAGCCUGAUGCAGCCAUGCCGCGUGUGUGAAGAAGGCCUUCGGGUUGUAAAGCACUUUCAGUCGUGAGGAAGGUGGUAGUGUUAAUAGCACUAUCAUUUGACGUUAGCGACAGAAGAAGCACCGGCUAACUCCGUGCCAGCAGCCGCGGUAAUACGGAGGGUGCGAGCGUUAAUCGGAAUUACUGGGCGUAAAGCGCAUGCAGGUGGUUUGUUAAGUCAGAUGUGAAAGCCCGGGGCUCAACCUCGGAAUAGCAUUUGAAACUGGCAGACUAGAGUACUGUAGAGGGGGGUAGAAUUUCAGGUGUAGCGGUGAAAUGCGUAGAGAUCUGAAGGAAUACCGGUGGCGAAGGCGGCCCCCUGGACAGAUACUGACACUCAGAUGCGAAAGCGUGGGGGAGCAAACAGGAUUAGAUACCCUGGUAGUCCACGCCGUAAACGAUGUCUACUUGGAGGUUGUGGCCCUGAGCCGUGGCUUUCGGAGCUAACGCGUUAAGUAGACCGCCUGGGGAGUACGGUCGCAAGAUUAAAACUCAAAUGAACUGACGGGGGCCCGCACAAGCGGUGGAGCAUGUGGUUUAAUUCGAUGCAACGCGAAGAACCUUACCUACUCUUGACAUCCAGAGAACUUUCCAGAGAUGGAUUGGUGCCUUCGGGAACUCUGAGACAGGUGCUGCAUGGCUGUCGUCAGCUCGUGUUGUGAAAUGUUGGGUUAAGUCCCGCAACGAGCGCAACCCUUAUCCUUGUUUGCCAGCGAGUAAUGUCGGGAACUCCAGGGAGACUGCCGGUGAUAAACCGGAGGAAGGUGGGGACGACGUCAAGUCAUCAUGGCCCUUACGAGUAGGGCUACACACGUGCUACAAUGGCGCAUACAGAGGGCGGCCAACUUGCGAAAGUGAGCGAAUCCCAAAAAGUGCGUCGUAGUCCGGAUUGGAGUCUGCAACUCGACUCCAUGAAGUCGGAAUCGCUAGUAAUCGUGGAUCAGAAUGCCACGGUGAAUACGUUCCCGGGCCUUGUACACACCGCCCGUCACACCAU